GAAAAUUUUAGUAAAUUAUAGUCAAUUUUUAUGCAAUGAAACUAUAUAGCUCUUUUUGUUAGAAAUUGUCUUACUAACUAAGCUGCUGGUGGUUCUGUGACGAAGUAGCUCCUGUUGGCUUCCCUUACACCGGGUCAGACACAGGACAUUAAUUAAGGCUGUGUGUGGUGUUUCUGAAAGGUGAGGAGACUGGGCAUUCUGUCUUUUACUCUACAGAUACAUCGUGGGAGACUCAAAGAUUAAAAUGUGGCCACUCACUGUGGAUCAGAAGCAGAAUCUCACAUCAUAACCCCAAAUGACCUGUUACUCACCAUGUGGCCCAGCUGUCUUCAAACUCACCAGCCUCCUGCCUUAGCCUUCUAAAUGCUUGGAUUACAGGCAUGACCCACCAUAACUGGCUUUGUUUUAGUUUCAGAGAAGAUGAAACUGAUGUGCGUCAAAAAGUAAACUACCCACAUUUUAACUGGGCACAUUCCUGUCAAUCUGAUGAGAAUCUAUUUCAUACCCUGCUUUAGCUGGUAGUCUGUCAAGGAAAUGAGCUGAACAUGUCUGUGUACAGCUUUUGUGCCAUCCCUGGAUGAGCGAGCUGUCUGCCUCUAUGUUCUCCACAAAAUGGAAUAUAGCUGUACACCCAAGCCAAGUUAUGGAGGCUGGGAAGACCUAGAAUGUGGCAUCACUAUUUGGUUAUUUAGAAAAUUGUUACCUCAAAAAUGACCUAGGGGUCCUUAGAAUAAUAACACACAGAAGAAUAGCCUCAUUUUUCUGUUGGGCCCAGGAAACCAUGCCGAUUACCGACCGAGCUCUCAAUGGAAAAAUGCAGUCGGCGUGAACCACGCACGAACACAGCAGAGAAAGAAGAAAACACACACCACGAGGAACCCUAAUAGGACAAUACAUUAUAAGUCACAGUGCUACGGAGAAACCCAGUAGCCACAUGGAAGCAGAGACCAUGCAUAUGCAUCUACUCCGCAGCUCUGUGAAUGUCAGCAGCUCCCACGGACUGGAGAUCCCGUGAGAUCCCGUGAGAUCUCACCCAUAGCCUCAUGGUACAUCCACUUGGUGUGCUGGGAGAGUCAGGAUGAGGACCUGAGAAGAACAGCAGCUUGAACCUGACUUCAUUUAACAGCCCACUGCCCUCUUGCCAAGAACCCAUCACAGACCUUCCCAGAAGAGAGGGAUGAGCCUCACCUAUGAAUAAGUCCUCAGAAACUCAAAUUUGAUUCUAAUGGAUUGUUUUCUCAGAAAGACUGAGCAUGUCCCCCCACAUCUCUGUCAUUUCCCACAGUAGUAACCUCUGCAGAUGCCACAUAGAAAACAAAACAAAACAAAAAAACAUGAGGUUGGUGGGCAGAUAGGCAGGGUAUAAACAAACAGCCUUGUAACCCAGAAGCUGUGUGAUAUACAGUAAACUUCACAACACUGAAAAGAUGUCCUAUCUGUUAAAAUGGGGUAAUAACAACUACCCGAAUGUUUAGGAAUAGAACUUCAAUAAAUGAUACAUUUUAUAGUACAGCAGACCAUCCUGUAAAGGUUUCAUCCUUCACUGUGGUGAUAAAUAUCCCAAACCACAUUGAAAAGCAUUGCAUCUACAUUUAUCUACACUGUAACUGUACUGUAAAUCAUGGGGGAGGGGAGAAUCAUAAAAACACCACCUGUCACCGUGUCAUUAAAGCAAGUUGGAAGUGAUACUUACAGAAACACAGCAAGAGCACCCCCAGUCACACAGUUCAAUCUCUUAGCAAGCGUUUUCUUUCUAGCCCAGUGGUUCUCAGUUUGGAAUUUUUGGCACUGCCUAGAGAUAGUUUUGUUGUUAAAACUGAGAAAAGAGCCGGGCGUGGUGGCACACGCCUUUAAUCCCAGCACUCAGGAGGCAGAGGCAGG
rnacentral:lncRNA from 1 species